rnacentral:rRNA from 1 species
UCCCCAGACUCCUACGGGAGGCAGCAGUGAGGAAUAUUGGUCAAUGGGCUUACGCCUGAACCAGCCAAGUCGCGUGAGGGAAGACUGCCCUAUGGGUUGUAAACCUCUUUUGUCAGGGAGCAACGCCGGCUACGUGUAGCCGGACUGAGAGUACCUGAAGAAAAAGCAUCGGCUAACUCCGUGCCAGCAGCCGCGGUAAUACGGAAGGUCCGGGCGUUAUCCGGAUUUAUUGGGUUUAAAGGGAGCGUAGGCCGGUCUUUAAGCGUGCCGUGAAAUUUUGUGGCUCAACCAUGAGAGUGCGGCGCGAACUGGAGACCUUGAGUGCGCGGAAGGCAGGCGGAAUUCGUGGUGUAGCGGUGAAAUGCUUAGAUAUCACGCAGAACCCCGAUUGCGAAGGCAGCAUACCGGCGCCCUACUGACGCUGAGGCACGAAAGUGCGGGUAUCGAACAGGAUUAGAUACCCUUGUAUG